GAUGAACGCUGGCGGCGUGCCUAAUACAUGCAAGUCGAGCGAACAGACGAGGAGCUUGCUCCUCUGACGUUAGCGGCGGACGGGUGAGUAACACGUGGAUAACCUACCUAUAAGUCUGGGAUAACUUCGGGAAACCGGAGCUAAUACCGGAUAAUAUAUUGAACCGCAUGGUUCAAUAGUGAAAGACGGUUUUGCUGUCACUUAUAGAUGGAUCCGCGCCGCAUUAGCUAGUUGGUAAGGUAACGGCUUACCAAGGCAACGAUGCGUAGCCGACCUGAGAGGGUGAUCCGCCACACUGGAACUGAGACACGGUCCAGACUCCUACGGGAGGCAGCAGUAGGGAAUCUUCCGCAAAGGGCGAAAGCCUGACGGAGCAACGCCGCGUGAGUGAUGAAGGUCUUCGGAUCGUAAAACUCUGUUAUUAGGGAAGAACAAAUGUGUAAGUAACUAUGCACGUCUUGACGGUACCUAAUCAGAAAGCCACGGCUAACUACGUG
rnacentral:rRNA from 1 species